AGCGCCGGUAAGGUGAUAUGAACCGUUAUAACCGGCGAUACCCGAAUGGGGAAACCCAGUGUGACUCGUCACACUAUCAUUAACUGAAUCCAUAGGUUAAUGAGGCGAACCGGGGGAACUGAAACAUCUAAGUACCCCGAGGAAAAGAAAUCAACCGAGAUUCCCCCAGUAGCGGCGAGCGAACGGGGAGGAGCCCAGAGCCUGAAUCAGCAUGUGUGUUAGUGGAAGCGUCUGGAAAGGCGCGCGAUACAGGGUGACAGCCCCGUACACAAAAGCGCAUGUGCUGUGAGCUCGAUGAGUAGGGCGGGACACGUGGUAUCCUGUCUGAAUAUGGGGGGACCAUCCUCCAAGGCUAAAUACUCCUGACUGACCGAUAGUGAACCAGUACCGUGAGGGAAAGGCGAAAAGAACCCCGGCGAGGGGAGUGAAAAAGAACCUGAAACCGUGUACGUACAAGCAGUGGGAGCACAGGUUUACCUGUGUGACUGCGUACCUUUUGUAUAAUGGGUCAGCGACUUAUAUUCUGUAGCAAGGUUAACCGAAUAGGGGAGCCGGAGGGAAACCGAGUCUUAAUUGGGCGUUAAGUUGCAGGGUAUAGACCCGAAACCCGGUGAUCUAGCCAUGGGCAGGUUGAAGGUUGGGUAACACUAACUGGAGGACCGAACCGACUAAUGUUGAAAAAUUAGCGGAUGACCUGUGGCUGGGGGUGAAAGGCCAAUCAAACCGGGAGAUAGCUGGUUCUCCCCGAAAGCUAUUUAGGUAGCGCCUCGUGAAUUCAUCUCCGGGGGUAGAGCACUGUUUCGGCUAGGGGGCCAUCCCGGCUUACCAACCCGAUGCAAACUGCGAAUACCGGAGAAUGUUAUCACGGGAGACACACGGCGGGUGCUAACGUCCGUCGUGAAGAGGGAAACAACCCAGACCGCCAGCUAAGGUCCCAAAGUCAUGGUUAAGUGGGAAACGAUGUGGGAAGGCCCAGACAGCCAGGAUGUUGGCUUAGAAGCAGCCAUCAUUUAAAGAAAGCGUAAUAGCUCACUGGUCGAGUCGGCCUGCGCGGAAGAUGUAACGGGGCUAAACCAUGCACCGAAGCUGCGGCAGCGACACUGUGUGUUGUUGGGUAGGGGAGCGUUCUGUAAGCCUGUGAAGGUGUGUCGUGAGGC
rnacentral:rRNA from 1 species